rnacentral:rRNA from 1 species
GUUCUGUUCGGGUAUGCUAUGCCGGCGUUGGAGUGCUUCAAGGCGGUCGAGCAGCGGACCGGCCGGACCGAUCAGCUCCGGUUUUGGUGCCAGUAUUGGAUCAUACUAGUCAUCCUGGUCAUAUUCGAUGAAAUCGCAGGCGCCCUAAUAUCGAGGAUUCCGAUGUAUUAUGAAGUCAAGCUCGCCUUCCUUGUCUACCUCUGGUACCCCCAGACAAGGGGGUCUGACAUCGUGUACGAGAACUUCGUGCGGCCGCUGGUGAUGCAGUACGAGCCCAACAUCGAGGAGAGGCUGCGGUACCUGCGGGCCAACGCCGGCGACCUCAUCGUCUUCUACCUCAAGAACUUCACGGACAGGGGAUACGAGCUCUUCCUCCGGGUCCUUGACUUCGCUCAGUCGCAGGCGUCCAGUGGCUCAAGGACAAGGGUAUACCCUGGAUACCAUUUUUCUGUCGCUUUGAUAGCUAACUGUGUUCGGAUGUUACAUAUCUGCGAUUUUGUUUGUGCUGGUGCGCAGAGGUUCUUCUCGUUCCGACAGGACCGAGCGGAGAGGCCGAGCUUCGACGACGAUGACUACGUCCACGGCAGCGAUCGGAGGAGCGCGGCGAGGCAGCGGCGACCCCGCGGUGCUGAUUACUAG